UACGUAGGGUGCGAGCGUUGUCCGGAAUCAUUGGGCGUAAAGAGCGUGUAGGCGGCCCGGUCAGUCCGCCGUGAAAGUCCAGGGCUCAACCCUGGAAUGCCGGUGGAUACUGCCGGGCUGGAGUCCGGAAGAGGCGAGUGGAAUUCCUGGUGUAGCGGUGAAAUGCGUAGAUAUCGGGAGGAACAUCAGUGGCGAAGGCGGCUACCUGGCCCAAUACUGACACUCAGGUGCGACAGCGUGGGGAGCAAACAGG
rnacentral:rRNA from 1 species